UUAAGCUAAGAAGAGCGUAGGGAGAAUGCCUUGGCAUUAGGAGCCGAUGAAGGACGUGAUAAGCUGCGAUAAGCUGCGGGGAUCAGCAAGUAUGAAUUGAUCCGCAGAUUUCCGAAUGGAGCAAUCCGUAUGUGUAUGCACAUACAUCAUAUACUGAAUCAAAUAGGUAUAUGAGGGGAACCGCCUGAACUGAAACAUCUAAGUAGGGCGAGGAAGAGAAAUCAACCGAGAUUCUGUGAGUAGUGGCGAGCGAAAGCGGAAGAGGCUAAACCAUAGGUAGCAAUACUUAUGGGGUUUCGGACAGCAUUUAGUAUUGAUAAUUUCUAGUUGAAACGUGUGGGAAAACGUACCGAGGAGUGUGAGAGUCACGUAAGCGAAAGAGAAAGUCAGCGAGCUGUAUCCAAAGUACCGCGGGACACGUGAAACCCCGUGGGAAGAUGGGGGGACCAUCCUCCAAGCCUAAAUACUACCUAAUGACCGAUAGCGAAUAGUACUGUGAAGGAACGGUGAAAAGAACCCCGGGAGGGGAGUGAAAAAGAACCUGAAACCCUAUGCUUACAAGCACCGAGAGCACGUCAAAGUGUGAUCGGGUACCUUUUGUAGAAUGGUCCGGCGAGUUAUUGUAUGCGGCAAGGUUAAGUGCUUAAGGCACGGAGCCGAAGCGAGAGCAAGUCUGAACAGGGCGAAAGAGUCGUAUGCAAUAGACCCGAAACCGAGUGACCUAUCCAUGUCCAGGCUGAAGUGGAGGUAAAACUCCAUGGAGGGCCGAACACACGUCCGUUGAAAAGGCCGGUGAUGAGGUGUGGAUAGCGGAGAAAUUCCAAUCGAACUCGGAUAUAGCUGGUUCUCUCCGAAAUAGCUUUAGGGCUAGCCUCGUGAAAGAUUACUGGAGGUAAAGCACUGAAUGGGCUAGGGGUCGAAAGAUUACUGAACCCUAUCAAACUAAGAAUGCCAGAUAAUUGAUUCACGGGAGUCAGACAAUGUGAGAUAAGUCUCAUUGUCAAAAGGGAAACAGCCCAGACCCACAGCUAAGGUCCCUAAACAUUGUUAAGUGGAAAAGGAUGUGGGGUUGCAUAAACAACCAGGAUGUUGGCUUAGAAGCAGCCACUCAUUAAAAGAGUGCGUAAUAGCUCACUGGUCGAGUGACCCUGCGCCGAAAAUUCAACGGGGCUAAACAAUGUACCGAAGCUUGGGAUUCUAAAGUAAUUUAGAGUGGUAGGAGAGCGUCGAAUAAGGGGUGAAGUCAGAGCGGAAGCGCUGGUGGACUUUAUUCGAGUGAGAAUGCCGGAAUGAGUAGCGAGAAUUAUGUGAGAAUCAUAAUGGCCGAAAAUCUAAGGUUUCCUGAGGAAGGUUCGUCCGCUCAGGGUAAGCCGGGGGCUAAGGCGAGGCGGAGACGCGUAGCCGAUGCACAUACGGUUGAAAUUCCGUAGCCACCGAAAGAUUUAAGUACAGGGACGCUUUAGAAGUGAUGUAGCCGGGCGAUGGUUGACCCGGUCGUAAGGGAUCGAAAAUGAGUAGAGAAGUCAUCAUGGAAAGAGACAAGAAAAGCUGUAUGAAUAUCUUAGGUGCCCGUACCGCAAACCGACACAGGUAGAUAGGAAGAAGAUUCUAAGGCCAACGGGAGAAGGGUUGUUAAGGAACUCGGCAAGUUGACCCCGUAACUUAGGGAUAAGGGGUGCUCAAGUGAUUGAGCCGCAGAGAAUAGGCCCAGGCGACUGUUUAGCAAAAACACAGGUCUCUGCUAAAUCGAAAGAUGACGUAUAGGGGCUGACACCUGCCCGGUGCCGGAAGGUUAAGAGGAGAUGUGAGAGCAUUGAAUUGAAGCCCCGGUAAACGGCGGCCGUAACUAUAACGGUCCUAAGGUAGCGAAAUUCCUUGUC
rnacentral:rRNA from 1 species